GCUGCAGGCGAGGAGCCCAGCUCUGAAGGCAGAGCCACCGCCAGCAGCAGUGCUCAAUGCAGAAGUAAGGGUGGCAUGGUAUGGUAUUGCUACCCUUACUUCUGUGCCGCUGCUGGCAGGGUGCCACUUUCAGAGCAGGGCACCCGGCCAACAGCCUCCAGUCACUGCUCUGUGGCCACCCAGAUCUGAAGGCAGCGUAGAAGUAAGGGUGGCAAUACCGUGGCCCC